rnacentral:rRNA from 1 species
AGUGAACGCUGGCGGUAUGCCUAACACAUGCAAGUCGAACGGCAGCACAGUAAGAGCUUGCUCUUACGGGUGGCGAGUGGCGGACGGGUGAGGAAUACAUCGGAAUCUACUUUUUCGUGGGGGAUAACGUAGGGAAACUUACGCUAAUACCGCAUACGACCUACGGGUGAAAGCAGGGGAUCUUCGGACCUUUCGCGAUUGAAUGAGCCGAUGUCGGAUUUGCUAGUUGGCGGGGUAAAGGCCCACCAAGGCGACGAUCCGUAGCUGGUCUGAGAGGAUGAACAGCCACACUGGAACUGAGACACGGUCCAGACUCCUACGGGAGGCAGCAGUGGGGAAUAUUGGACAAUGGGCGCAAGCCUGAUCCAGCAAUACCGCGUGGGUGAAGAAGGCCUUCGGGUUGUAAAGCCCUUUUGUUGGGAAAGAAAAGCAGCAGGUUAAUACCCCGCUGUUCUGACGGUACCCAAAGAAUAAGCACCGGCUAACUUCGUG